rnacentral:rRNA from 1 species
GGAAUUUUGGACAAUGGGGGCAACCCUGAUCCAGCCAUGCCGCGUGAGUGAAGAAGGCCUUCGGGUUGUAAAGCUCUUUCGGCCGGAACGAAAUCGUGCGAGUGAACAACCCGCGUGGAUGACGGUACCGGAAGACGAAGCCCCGGCUAAACACGGGCCAGCAGCCGCGGUAAUACGUAGUGUGCAAGCGUUAAUCGGAAGUACUGGGCGUAAAGCGUGCGCAGGCUGUCGCGUAAGCCAGAUGUGAAAUCCCCGGGCUUAACCUGGGAACUGCAUUUGGUACUGCGUGGCUGGAGUGCGGCAGAGGAAGGUGGAAUUCCUGGUGUAGCAGUGAAAUGCGUAGAGAUCAGGAGGAACACCGAUGGCGAAGGCAGCCUUCUGGGCCAGCACUGACGCUCAUGCACGAAAGCGUGGGGAGCAAAC